AAACUUACCUGGCAGGGGAAACACCAUGACCAUGAAGGUGGUUUUCCUAGUUGCAGGGGAAAACCACUUUCUUGGCAGGUACUGUAUACCAAGCCACCACUUUCACUUCCAGUGGGAAGAUCUUGGCUAUACACCCACUUAUGGAAAUGGGAGACUCCUCCCUAGCUUGCUCCUG
rnacentral:snRNA from 14 species